GAUGAACGCUGGCGGCGUGCCUAAUACAUGCAAGUCGAGCGAACAGACGAGGAGCUUGCUCCUCUGACGUUAGCGGCGAACGGGUGAGUAACACGUGGAUAACCGACCUAUAAGACUGGGAUAACUUCGGGAAACCGGAGCUAAUACCGGAUAAUAUAUUGAACCGCAUGGUUCAAUAGUGAAAGACGGUUUUGCUGUCUACUAUAGAUGCAUCCGGGCUGCAUUAGCUAGUCGGUAAGGUAACGGCUUACCAAGGCAACGAUGCGUAGCCGACCUGAGAGGGUGAUCGGCCACACUGGAACUGAGACACGGUCCAGACUCCUACGGGAGGCAGCAGUAGGGAAUCUUCCGCAAUGGGCGAAAGCUUGACGGAGCAACGCCGCGGGAGUGAUGAAGGUCUUCGGAUCGUAAAACUCUGUUAUUAGGGAAGAACAAAUGUGUAAGUAACUAUGCACGUCUUGACGGUACCUAAUCAGAAAGCCACGGCUAACUACGUG
rnacentral:rRNA from 1 species